rnacentral:rRNA from 1 species
GCCUGCCAUCCAGCCCACACCAACUAAUCAACCACACCACCAACACCAAACCAAACCAUUUGCAACACUAAGUAUAUGAGAUAGAACAGUACCUUCGGCGCACUAGUCAACCGUACCACAAGGGAUCGAUGAAAGAUAAGCAAACCAACAUCAAAAGCACAAAUCAGCAGACAUAAACCCCCGUACCUUUUGCAUCAUGGUUCAGCAAGUCAAACCAGAUAAAGAGUCCUCCACCUGCCCACCCGAAGCCAGGCGAGCUACCUAGAGGCAAUCAAAACCAACGGAUGCACCCAUCUCUGUGGCAAAAGAGUGGGACGACCCCUAGAUAGCAGUGAAAUGCCUACCGAGCCUGGAGAUAGCUGGUUGCUCAACAAAUGAACCUUAGUUCAAACCCAACCCAACUAACAAGACACCACCUGUAAACGAUUAAGUUGAGAGAUAUUCAACGGGGGUACAGCCCCGUUGAAGCUGGGUACAACCAGGCCUAGCGGCCAACACCAUAAUUUUACCUCCGUUGACCUUAAAGCAGCCACCAUUAGCUAUCGCGUCACAGCGCCUAGCAUAAAAUGACACCAUAAUACUAAACCCCCUAGCACCUAAAUUGAGCUACUCUAAUUAAACCUUAGAGGAAAAACUGCUAAAACUAGUAAUACGUGAUAACACUACAGGCACAACUGUACAUACCCCUAUUAUUACCGGCCCAAAAACACAUCAUACACAACACACUUCCUCAACAGCCGUUACCCCGACACAGGAGUGCCAAAAGUAAGAUUAACAGCUAUAAAAGGAACUCGGCUAACACACCCCGCCUGUUUACCAAAAACACCGCCUUUAGCCACACAAGUAUUAAAGGUCUCGCCUGCCCAGUGAAAUUAUUUUAAACGGCCGCGGUAUCCUAACCGUGCAAAGGUAGCGUAAUCACUUGCCCCCUAAUUAGAGGCCUGUAUGAACGGCUAACCGAGGGUGUAACUGUCUCCUAUAGCCAAUCAGUGAAACUGAUCCCCUAGUACAAAAGCUAGGAUACUAACAUAAGACGAGAAGACCCUGUGGAGCUUUAAGACACCCACUACCCCCAGACCCGACCAAAAUAGUGAUAACUUUAAGUUGGGGCGACUACGGAGAACAAAAAACCUCCGCGCAUUAUAAAUAGGCCCUCUAAAGGAAAACACCCCAAAAAGAGCCCGCCACCGACCCAGUAAUACUGAUCAUCGAACCAAGUUACCCCAGGGAUAACAGCGCCAUCCUCUUCAAGAGUCCAUAUCGACAAGAGGGUUUACGACCUCGAUGUUGGAUCAGGGCCCCCCAGUGGUGCAGCCGCUACUAAAGGUCCGUUUGUUCAACGGAUAACGCCCUACGUGAUCUGAGUUCAGACCGGAGAAAUCCAGGUCGGUUUCUAUCUAUGCCACACGUUCUUCAGUACGAAAGGACCAAGAAUGAAGUGCCAAUGCCAUCACGCAUGCACUAAAAUACCAAAGCUGAAAUAAAAUAAAGCUUACCCCCAAAAAAAGCCGCCCCUAGACAUAGGGGCGGUUCGUUCGC